UACGUAGGGUCCGAGCGUUGUCCGGAAUUAUUGGGCGUAAAGAGCUCGUAGGCGGGUUGUCGCGUCUGCUGUGAAAUCCCGAGGCUCAACCUCGGGUCUGCAGUGGGUACGGGCAGACUGGAGUGCGGUAGGGGAGACUGGAAUUCCUGGUGUAGCGGUGAAAUGCGCAGAUAUCAGGAGGAACACCGGUGGCGAAGGCGGGUCUCUGGGCCGUAACUGACGCUGAGGAGCGAAAGCGUGGGGAGCGAACAGG
rnacentral:rRNA from 1 species